rnacentral:rRNA from 1 species
CGGGUGAGUAACGCGUGGGUAACCUGCCCCAUACUGGGGGAUAAUGGUUAGAAAUGACCGCUAAUACCGCUUAAGCGCGCGAGGCCGCAUGGCCGCGCGCGAAAAACUCCGGUGGUAUGGGAUGGGCCCGCGUCUGAUUAGGUAGUUGGCGGGGUAAGGGCCCACCAAGCCGACGAUCAGUAGCCGACCUGAGAGGGUGGCCGGCCACAUUGGGACUGAGACACGGCCCAAACUCCUACGGGAGGCAGCAGUGGGGAAUAUUGCGCAAUGGGGGAAACCCUGACGCAGCAACGCCGCGUGAGUGAGGAAGUAUCUCGGUAUGUAAAGCUCUAUCAGCGGGGAAGAAAGAGGACGGUACCCGACUAAGAAGCCCCGGCUAACUACGUGCCAGCAGCCGCGGUAAUACGUAGGGGGCGAGCGUUAUCCGGAUUUACUGGGUGUAAAGGGAGCGUAGACGGCGUCGCAAGUCUGAAGUGAAAGCCCGUGGCUCAACCGCGGAACCGCUUUGGAAACUGCGAGGCUGGAGUGCUGGAGAGGUAAGCGGAAUUCCUGGUGUAGCGGUGAAAUGCGUAGAUAUCAGGAGGAACACCGGUGGCGAAGGCGGCUUACUGGACAGUGACUGACGUUGAGGCUCGAAAGCGUGGGGAGCGAACAGGAUUAGAUACCCUGGUAGUCCACGCGGUAAACGAUGAGUGCUAGGUGUCGGGGGGGCAAAGCCCCUCGGUGCCGCCGCUAACGCAAUAAGCACUCCACCUGGGGAG